rnacentral:rRNA from 1 species
AGAGUUUGAUCCUGGCUCAGAUUGAACGCUGGCGGCAUGCCUAACACAUGCAAGUCGAACGGAAACAGGAGCUAGCUUGCUAGCUUGCUGUCGAGUGGCGGACGGGUGAGUAACACGUAGGAAUCUGCCUAGCAGCGGGGGAUAGCCCGGGGAAACUCGGAUUAAUACCGCAUACGCUCUACGGAGGAAAGUGGGCCUCUUCUUGAAAGCUCACACUGCUAGAUGAGCCUACGUCCGAUUAGCUAGUUGGUGGGGUAAAGGCCUACCAAGGCGACGAUCGGUAGCUGGUCUGAGAGGAUGAUCAGCCACACCGGGACUGAGACACGGCCCGGACUCCUACGGGAGGCAGCAGUGGGGAAUAUUGGACAAUGGGCGAAAGCCUGAUCCAGCAAUGCCGCGUGUGUGAAGAAGGCCUGCGGGUUGUAAAGCACUUUUAUUAGGAAAGAAAUGGCCUGGGCUAAUACCCCAUGGCAGCUGACGGUACCUAAUGAAUAAGCACCGGCUAACUCCGUGCCAGCAGCCGCGGUAAUACGGAGGGUGCAAGCGUUAAUCGGAAUUACUGGGCGUAAAGCGUGCGUAGGCGGCUACGUAAGUCGGAUGUGAAAGCCCCGGGCUUAACCUGGGAAUUGCAUUCGAUACUGCGUGGCUAGAGUUUGGUAGAGGUAAGUGGAAUUCCAGGUGUAGCGGUGAAAUGCGUA